UACAUAGGGUGCAAGCGUUGUCCGGAAUUAUUGGGCGUAAAGAGCUCGUAGGUGGUUCAUUACGUCGGAUGUGAAAAUCUGGGGCUCAACCCCAGACCUGCAUUCGAUACGGGUGAUCUAGAGUGUGGUAGGGGAGACUGGAAUUCCUGGUGUAGCGGUGGAAUGCGCAGAUAUCAGGAGGAACACCAAUGGCGAAGGCAGGUCUCUGGGCCAUUACUGACACUGAGGAGCGAAAGCGUGGGGAGCGAACAGG
rnacentral:rRNA from 1 species